AGAGAGAGAGAGAGAGAGAGAGAGAGAGAGAGAGAGAGAGAGAGAGAGAGAGAGAGAGAGAGAGAGAGAGAGAGAGAGCCCGAUCCCGCAUAGUGCCAGCCGCUCGUCUUAACGACAGAACAUGGAAUCUGUCAGGUUAAUAUCAUGACUUUAAAAGCAGACUUCCUUCAACGAGUUAAAAAAUGGACAGUAUUUGAAGAGUUCAGAUGCAAAAGCCUCUAAACGCCAACUCCGUCAAAAAUGAGAUAAAGACAUUGUUUGAAUGCUCUCCACACGUAGUAUACGUUAAUCAAAUCAUUUCGUGUCAAAACCCGCUAUAUACCACUCUGUUCCUGGUCUGAAAUCUCCAUUUGUAGGCAAAACCCUCUAAACACCACUUCCCUUUGUCAACAAAAGCCUCUACGUUCCGAGAACCAAUCACAGCGCAACAUGGAAUCAUGUGACUUCAAAAUGGCGGCGCGCUGAGGAUCCGGCUUUUUUGACAGCUGUCUAUAUCAACAACAAAGUACUUUUAAAUAUAUAUUCUUUAGCGAUUCGAUUUGGAUUUUGAUGGUCAUGGAUUUCAACGAAAUGGACAAACCUGUCCUUGUGACAGCUAACGGCCGAAAAAAGCGACGUCUUCCCGUUAGUUCUGCUCGUUCUAUGGCGAAGAAAAGCCGUUAUAGUGGGGAGGGCUCCGUCGCCAGCAUAGCUUGCAGCCAUAAGAAUGCGUCAUGCGCUGCUGUAACAUUGACCCCAACAGACUUGGCCCACAUCAAGGGACAGCUGUAUUCAACCGAUGACAAAGUGACACAAGACUCCAUAAUUCUUUUGCAUAUGGAUGCGACGCCGUGCAAAUGGAGGAGACCUCAAGUCGAGGAUGAACAGAAGAGAAGGCAGAGGGAUGUUUCCAUCAAGUUCUCGGUUUUGAAGGUAAAUAAAACCAAAGUUCCCGUCUGCCAGGCUUCCUUCCUGAGCAUUUUCUGUGUGAAGAAGGAUAGAGUCCAGAAUGUUGCCAAGUACUGGCUUGAGCACGGCAAAGCGCGCUCAGAGAAUUGUGGUGGUUCCAGGGAAAAGAAGCAAGUGAUAAGAGACCACAUCCAAUCAUUCAGUUGCAGAGCCAGUCUCUAUGCUCGACGUGGUGCACCUGGGAGGAAGUUCCUCCCCAGUGAGUGAGUACAAGUGUCUUAUUCUCUGUACUAUUCCAUCUUCAUGUACGAUUUCAACCUGGCUUUUGGCCAGCCUGCCAAGGAUGUCUGUUCGACCUGUGUGAAACACAGGAUUGCCAUCAACAACCCUGACUCCAGUCCAGAAGAGAAACGAGACAAGCUGCUCAUGUACACACUCCACCAUCGCCGUGCCCGUCAAGUUUAUCAUUCUUAAAAUGAUGUGGCAGACUCGUUCACCAUCUGUUUUGAUGUGAUGGAGAACCUGCUGCUUCCCAAGUACAUACUACUCCUGGCAACUUUAUUUGUAUGUGUUCGGGGUAGUUUGUCACCGUGGCCGCGGAGGACCCCAGAGCCGGCAUGAUAUCAAUCUUUACACCUGGAUGGAAUCUGAGAAUUCAAAAGACAGCAACACCAUCGCCUCAGCCUUGCAGCAUUUCUUCACCAAAGUGGCCCAAGAAGAUCUGUUCCAGUUUCAGAGCCUCCGACUUUUCUCUGAAUCCUGCUAUGGUCAGAACAAAAACAUCAAUGUUCUUGCUGUUUGCGCUGAGAUCCCAGCUUUACCCUCAGCUUGACAUUCAAUAUUUUUUUCCGAUAAGAGGGCACAGUUUUCUUCCAGCAGACCGGGUUUUUGGAAGAGUGGAGCAGGACAUCAGAAAGCAGCCAACGAUUCUGUUGCCAGAGGAAUAUGUCAGCAUUCUGCGGAAGCAUGGCAAUGUCCAUCAAUAUGGAAAAGAUUGGCAGUGCUACGAUUUAAAAAAAGAA